UACGGAGGGUGCAAGCGUUAAUCGGAAUUACUGGGCGUAGAGCGCGCGCAGGUGGCUUGAUAAGCCGGAUGUGAAAGCCCCGGGCUCAACCUGGGAACGGCAUCCGGAACUGUCAAGCUUAAGUGCAGGAGAGGAAGGUAGAAUUCCCGGUGUAGCGGUGAAAUGCGUAGAGAUCGGGAGGAAUACCAGUGGCGAAGGCGGCGUUCGGGACUGACACUGACACUGAGGUGCGAAAGCGUGGGUAGCAAACAGG
rnacentral:misc_RNA from 1 species